GUGAGAGAGAAUAAAUGAUGUGUUUUUUUUGUUUGUUUUUUUUUUAAGCCAUUAAGCUUUGGGCAACUUGCCAGGCAGUGUUAGAGAACCAGGGUGCAGAGCGUAAAGUCAUGCAUGAAGUAGUGGGGUGAAAACACAGCUAUGAGGAAGUCCCUUUUUCUGUGGGACAGAGGGUCAGGGAGCACUUGAAACAAGCGGAGAGCUAAUGCUGUGCCUAAGGGCAUCUAAGAGUCAGGUCUGAAAGAAGACCACUGAUGAGACCACUCAAGAAUAAAUGUGGAAGGCAGAAUCUGUCAGUUAAUAUCUCCUGCAAAAAAGACAAAAGCCAGGAGAGCCAAUCAAAAUACACCUGCAAGAAUCUAGAACCUGUGGAACCUCCCGAAGUUUGUUGUUUUUGCCACUCUGGUCUAGUUUUACAGAGUGGAAAGCUCUUGAAUGUUUGUUUAGGGCAGCACGUCACAAAGAGUCGGGGAGUGGGGAGAGACAGUGCCCCACCCAAAGCUACUUGGAGGCAGCUACCAGGAAGAGAGGCAAGACUGAAAAUAAAUAGACUAAUCUUCCUCAGAUACCAUCUCAUCACAUACUUCCCAUGCUUCACACCUCUGGUGGGAUGUUGCUUCUCAGAAGUUAAAGUGUAGAUCGUUUGCUUGGUUUUUGCCUCGGCUUCUGCAUGGCCCACCCUCGGCACUGUACCACGAGGACCCAGAAGGCACCUUCAACUCCUCAGCUGACCUGCGGAGCAGCCCCUCUUCACUCCCGUGUGCUCUGGUCCUGGUGACCUGUCCCCUCCCUGCAGACUUCUUCUUCUGUCAGCUCCCAUUGGCUGAACCCAACGAGAAGUCAGAGAAAAAAGAGCAGGAUCCGAGGAGUGAAUGAAGAUAUGGAACCCAGCGUGACCAGUAGGACACAGGCAGCCCUGAUACUGGAAAGAAACCUUCCACCAAAAACAAGAGACUGGCUAGCUUCCUGAAGGAAGAGGAACUAGGAACAAUCGUGGCUCCAGCCCCUGUUGUGAUUCUUCUACCUUGCUGAUCUAACUGCCUCAGGAAGAUGCCGUAUCUGCUCCAUCGCCCACCGUGCGCCUGCCCAGCCCUAGCUCUGAACCGGGUACUCAGUGGGCAUUGGUCACACACAUGUGGAGCAAGGGAAGGCAACUGUGCUCUCUCAUCAGACUAUGAAAGGGAGUAAACCAUGACUGGAUGCUCCAGGGAUGUCUGUGGGACCUGAAACUUAAGACAAUUUGAAGG
ensembl:lncRNA